GGGAUUCCCCUAGUAACGGCGAGUGAAGCGGGAACAGCUCAAAUUUGAAAUCUGGCCUUCGGGUCCGAAUUGUAAUUUGCAGAGGAUGCUUUUGGUUAGGUACUUUCCGAGUUCCCUGGAACGGGACGCCUUAGAGGGUGAGAGCCCCGUACGGUUGGAUACCGAGCCUUUGUAAAGCUCCUUCGACGAGUCGAGUAGUUUGGGAAUGCUGCUCUAAAUGGGAGGUAAAUUUCUUCUAAAGCUAAAUACCGGCCAGAGACCGAUAGCGCACAAGUAGAGUGAUCGAAAGAUGAAAAGCACUUUGAAAAGAGGGUUAAAUAGCACGUGAAAUUGUUGAAAGGGAAGCGUUUAUGACCAGACUUUUUCCAGGCGGAUCAUCCGGUGUUCUCACCGGUGCACUUCGUCUGGUUGAGGCCAGCAUCGGUUUUCGUAGAGGGAUAAAAGCUUUAGGAAUGUGGUUCCUUCGGGAAUGUUAUAGCCUAUUGUAUAAUACCUUUAUGGGGACCGAGGUUCGCGCAUCUGCAAGGAUGCUGGCGUAAUGGUCAUCAACGACCC
rnacentral:rRNA from 1 species